GACUAACGCUGGCGGUAUGCCUUAGACAUGCAAGUCGAACGAGUUUCCGGGCUUGCUCGGAAAUUAGUGGCGAACGGCUGAGUAACGCGUAGGUGACCUACCCCGUAGUGUGGAAUAACUGCCCGAAAGGGUAGCUAAUACCGCAUGUUGAGCCGACAUCAAUGUCGUCUCCAAAGCAGAAAUGCGCUAUGGGCGGGGCCUGCGUUUGAUUAGCUAGUUGGUGGGGUAAUGGCUCACCAAGGCGACGAUCGAUAGGUGGUCUGAGAGGACGAUCACCCAGACUGGGACUGAGACACGGCCCAGACUCCUACGGGAGGCAGCAGUCGGGAAUUUUGCGCAAUGGCGCAAGCCUGAUGCAGCGACGCCGCGUGAGGGAUGACGGCCUUCGGGUUGUAAACCUCUUGCAGUAGGGACGAAGCGCAAGUGACGGUACCUACAGAAGAAGGACCGGCCAACUACGUGCCAGCCGCCGCCGUAA
rnacentral:rRNA from 1 species